GCCAGGUGUGGUGGUGCACACCUAUAAUCCCAGCUGCUUGGGAGGCUGAGGCAGGAGGAUCACGAGUUCAAAGCCAUCCUCAGCAAAAGUGAGGCACUAAGCAACUCAGUGAGACCCUGUCUCUA
rnacentral:sRNA from 1 species